UACGAAGGGGGCUAGCGUUGCUCGGAAUCACUGGGCGUAAAGGGCGCGUAGGCGGAUCUUUAAGUCGGGGGUGAAAGCCUGUGGCUCAACCACAGAAUUGCCUUCGAUACUGAGGAUCUCGAGACCGGAAGAGGUGAGUGGAACUGCGAGUGUAGAGGUGAAAUUCGUAGAUAUUCGCAAGAACACCAGUGGCGAAGGCGGCUCACUGGUCCGGUUCUGACGCUGAGGCGCGAAAGCGUGGGGAGCAAAC
rnacentral:rRNA from 1 species